rnacentral:rRNA from 1 species
UAUCGGAACGUGCCCUAGAGUGGGGAUAACGUAGCGAAAGUUACGCUAAUACCGCAUACGAUCUAUGGAUGAAAGUGGGGGAUUCGCAAGAACCUCAUGCUCGUGGAGCGGCCGAUAUCUGAUUAGCUAGUUGGUAGGGUAAAAGCCUACCAAGGCAUCGAUCAGUAGCUGGUCUGAGAGGACGACCAGCCACACUGGAACUGAGACACGGUCCAG